CGCUCCAAUAGCGUAUAUUAAAGUUGUUGCAGUUAAAAGCUCGUAGUUGAAUUUCGGGGUUAGUAUGUUGGUCAUGCCUCUGGUAUGUACUGGUCUCACUGAUUCCUCCUUCCUGAUGAACCGUAAUGCCAUUAAUUUGGUGUUGCGGGGAAUUUGGACUGUUACUUUGAAAAAAUUAGAGUGUUUAAAGCAGGCA
rnacentral:rRNA from 1 species